GACAGAGGAUGCAAACGUUGCUCGGAAUUACUGGGCGUAAAGCGCGUGUAGGCGGUCUGAUAAGUCGGACGUGAAAUCCCGGGGCUCAACCCCGGAAGAGCGCUCGAUACUGCCAGACUUGGGUUCUGAAGAGGAGAGCGGAAUUCCCGGUGUAGAGGUGAAAUUCGUAGAUAUUCGGAGGAACACCAGCGGCGAAGGCGGCAUCCUGGACUGGUCCUGACACUCAGGAGCGAAAGCGUGGGGAGCGAUCCGGAUUAG
rnacentral:rRNA from 1 species